UUUUUCUUGUUCUCUUCACUCUACCACAAGACCCAGUGCUACCCUUACAAAUGUGCUGUACCAGGAUUGCUUCCUAGGGAACAUGGCCAGCUGGUCCUGUUACCUCUCCAAUUUGGAGAGAGGAGAACUCACAGAAUCGGCGAAAGCGCCGUGGAGGAGCCGUUAAUUCCAGACAAGCUCCCAAACGAAGCAGGCUGCUGGCUUCUAGUGCAGGUGAGGCUUCAGCAGCAGAGCCAAUAGACCUCGAAGAAAGUCGUGUGCUUUCUUUUGAUCUUGGUAAGAACAGAAACUGCUU